rnacentral:rRNA from 1 species
ACGCUCGACACCUACGGGGGCAGCAGUGGGGGAUAUUGCACAAUGGAGGAAACUCUGAUGCAGCGACGCCGCGUGAGGGAAGAAGGUUUUCGGAUUGUAAACCUCUGUCUUCGGUGACGAAAAUGACGGUAGCCGAGGAGGAAGCCACGGCUAACUACGUGCCAGCAGCCGUGGUAAUCUGAGCGGGCUGGCAAGGC